GCAUCGGUGGUUCAGUGGUAGAAUGCUCGCCUGCCACGCGGGCGGCCAGGGUUCGAUUCCCGGUCGAUGCA
rnacentral:tRNA from 1 species